AGGUUCGGAAUAACAGCGAGAAAUUGCUGCUAAUACCGGAUGAUAUCGCGAGAUCAAAGAUUUAUCGCCUGAGGAUGAGCCCGCGUAGGAUUAGCUAGUUGGUGUGGUAAAGGCGCACCAAGGCGACGAUCCUUAGCUGGUCUGAGAGGAUGAUCAGCCACACUGGGACUGAGACACGGCCCAGACUCCUACGGGAGGCAGCAGUGGGGAAUAUUGGACAAUGGGCGAAAGCCUGAUCCAGCAAUGCCGCGUGAGUGAUGAAGGCCUUAGGGUUGUAAAGCUCUUUUACCCGGGAUGAUAAUGACAGUACCGGGAGAAUAAGCUCCGGCUAACUCCGUGCCAGCAGCCGCGGUAAUACGGAGGGAGCUAGCGUUAUUCGGAAUUACUGGGCGUAAAGCGC
rnacentral:rRNA from 1 species